ACUCAAAUGAAUAGACGGGGACUUGCACAAGCGGUGGAUCAUGCGGCUCAAUUCGAUGGCAAACGAAGAACCUCACCAGGGUUUGAAACCCAGACGUAAUCCUUAGGAAACUUUGGACCUCGCAAGACGGCUGGGCAGGUGAUGCAUGGUCGUCGUCAGUUCGUGGCUUGAGUUGUUCCCUUCAGUGGGGUAACGAACGCAACCCGCGUUGCCUGUUUUAUAUGUCAGGCGAGACUGCCCCCUCACGGGGGAGGAAGGUGCGGAUGACGCCAGAUCAGCAUGUCCCUCUGAUAUCCUGGGCUGCACGCAUGAUACAAUGCACUCGACAACGGGUCGCGACGGGGUAACCCUGAGCCAAUCCUUAUAAACGAGUGCCCAGUUCGGAUUGAGGUCUGCAACUCGACCUCAUGAAGCCGGAAUCGCUAGUAAUCGCGGGUCAGCUAUACCGCGGUGAAUACGUUCUCAAGUCUUGUACACACCGCCCGU
rnacentral:rRNA from 1 species